UGCGGGAGCAGAGACUAGUCAGCUCCUCCGUGCUCCUCCUCUCUGCUCCCUCCUCAGCUCUUUCUUCUCCUCCUGCUCUAGCUGUCUUCCCCUCUCUGAAAAUAAUCGUUCCAAAUAACCUAGCUUUAGGUUGUGUCACUAACCAAAAACACCCAAGGCUAGCUAGAGAAAGAACAAAGUGUAAUUUUGAAUUUAAAAUUAGAGAUCUGGACCUAUUUCAGGAGUUGGUAGCUGUGGGGUGGUGACCAAGUGCUCAAGCUUCAGCUAAUUUCUUCUCCAAUAACAAGCAUCAAAGAGACCACACCCAGACACUCUCAUGCACCAUCUGUCCGAGAGUGUCAGAAGUAGGAAGGACUCAGCACAGAGAUCUGAGAAGAUGAUCACUGUGGGUGUCAUAAACUGUAGCCCCACAUACACGCCAUGUUGUUACAUUCCACAGGAACAGCUAAAGAUACAGAUUUUGCUUCACCACUGUCUCUGCAUUUUGGUAGUAAUUGUGGGAAAGAACUUGAUGAUGACAAUGAUGACAAUGACAAAGACUACUAUGGAAGAUAAGAUAACAACAACCAACUGAUGACCUCAUCCUGGUUUGGAAGCCCCGGUUUCCAUGUGUUAGCAUAAGAAACCCUAAUGACUUGACAAAAAUCAAUAUUGUGUGAUAAAUUCAAGAGACAGUGAUGAUUAAGACUGUUACUCACUCAUAAGGAGAAUUUGAGGGCUUGUAGUACUUCUAAUUGAUGUAGAGAAAAACUGGGAGAGAGAAGGCCCUUGAAUAUAUGAAGGAUAGGGAAUCCUGCCACUUUCCUCCUUUAUUAUUAUCAGACUACGUGGCUUGUCACCAAAUAGCCCAAAGGCAUGUGAGAGAAGAGAUGUAUAUAUAUAGAGAGAAUGGCUAUAAGUGACUCACAUUAGCU
rnacentral:lncRNA from 1 species